rnacentral:rRNA from 1 species
UACGUAGGGGGCAAGCGUUGUCCGGAAUCAUUGGGCGUAAAGAGCGUGUAGGCGGCUCGGUAAGUCCGCUCUGAAAGCCCGGGGCUCAACCCCGGGAGGCGGGCGGAUACUGUCGAGCUAGAGUCCGGAAGAGGAGUGUGGAAUUCCCGGUGUAGCGGUGAAAUGCGCAGAUAUCGGGAAGAACACCCGUGGCGAAGGCGGCACUCUGGGACGGUACUGACGCUGAGACGCGAAAGCGUGGGGAGCGAACAGG